ACUGGCCCAGGGAGGUCGGCAACGACCACCCAGGGCCGGAAAGUUGGUCAAACUCGGUCAUUUAGAGGAAGUAAAAGUCGUAACAAGGUCUCCGUAGGUGAACCUGCGGAGGGAUCAUUA
rnacentral:rRNA from 1 species